rnacentral:misc_RNA from 1 species
UUUAAUUUUUUUUUUUUUUUUGGAAAGUGAGGAUGAGAAACUUUAUAAUAAUCGGUUGAUAUUGAAGCAUGGCAAAGAAUUGUUAAAGAUCCUGAAAUUCCAUUAGAAUUGCACGCUGAUAGUUAUAGAGAAAAACUUGAAGAGGAAUAUAAUGAACUUGAUUGGAAGAAAAUUUCUUUAAAUGCUAAAGCUUUAAAUAUCCUUCAUUGUGCACUUGAUGCAAAUGAGUACAAUCGUAUUUUGCACAUCUGCAAAAGAAGUGUGGGAUAAACUUGAAGUCACUUAUGAAGGAACUAAUCAAGUAAAGGAAUCAAAAGGCAAUAGACUUGUUCGAGAGUAUGAGCUAUUUGAGAUGAAACUUGGAGAAACCAUUUCAGAAAUGAGCACAAGAUUUACUGAUCUGGUGAACAUCCUCAAAGCACUUGAAAAGGAAUUUAUUGAAGAAGAAUUAGUCAAGAAAGUCUUGAGGUCACUUCCUAAAUUAUGGGAAAUAAAAGUGACAGUGAUCUUUGACACCAAAGACUUCUCCAAAUUCACUUAUGAUUAGCUGAUUGGUUCUCUUAUUACUCACAAAAUGCUUUAUGACAAGAACAAAAGCAAUGUGGAUGAUGAAAAGAAAGAGAGGAAUUGCCUUGAAAUCAAACAAAUAGGAUGAGAUAAGGAAAACUAUAGCUUUUAAGACUGCCUCAAGUGAUAGCUCCAAUAGUUCAAGUGAUGAAGAUGAUAUUGCUAUGAUUGCAAGAAGAUUCAAGAAAGUUCGAAAUAUAAGAAAUUUCUAAGGAAGUAUUCUCCCAAAGGUGAAACAAGCAAGAAUCAAAGUGAGAUCAAAUGCUUUGAAUGCAACAAACCUGGCCACAUCAAGCCAAAUUGUCCUAAACUGAAAACGAAGAAUUCAAAAGAUAAGAGCAAGAAAGCAUUAGUUGCUGGUUCGAAAGAUAGUGAUGACUCCUCAAGUGACAACUCAAAUGACAAGGAGAUUGCACACAUUUGUCUCACGGCUCUAGAAGAGAACAACUCACCAAAGAGAAAGCAACAAUGAGGUAAAUAAUUCUGAAUCUCUUAGUAUUGAAGAAUAUGAAGAUGCAUUUGCCAAAUUAUAUGAAGAAUAUAAAGUUUAUAAGAAAAGAUCUUCUUCAAACAAAGAAAUUGCUUCUUUAAGAUCAGAAAAUAUUUCUAUGAGUCUUGCUAUGCAAAAGAACAAGUUUUAUAAAAAUC